rnacentral:tRNA from 1 species
UGGGGUGUAGUUCACUGGUAAAGUGAGUGUUUAGCAUGCACAAGGCCCUGGGUUCAAUCCUCAGCACCAUAG